rnacentral:lncRNA from 1 species
GGACCGCCUCUCCCAGCCAGGCCCCGCCUCCCAACCGCUCAGCCCGGUGACCCGCCCACCUCCUGAAGGCCCUGCCUUUUGGCGAAUCUAGAAUGAAACCAUACUCGCCCCCAAGGGACAAAGACACGUCCACGUGUCAUCCAGGGCAUGCAGGGCCCUGGCACCCCCAGGUCGGGGCCACCAUCAGAGGUCCCGCCGCCUUCUAGAAAGUUAAACGCCACGGUCACAUGGGGAGGAUGCGUGUCCCAGCCUCGAGGACUGUCCUGACAGCUUCCCCAAGACUCCGGCG